UUGGAAACUGUAAGACGGCCAGCUUCCAGAGAAGGCGCCAGCACAGGAGACCAUGGCUGUACCAGGCUGCCAGCAGCUGGCAGUGUUGCUCACAGAGCCUGUGUCACCGCUUUAAAGGGACUUUGCAACCAUGGGGCAAGACCCCGUGGCACAACCGGGAAGGGGCUACCAAGCUUAGAACAAACUGGCUGUGUGGACUCAAACUCAGAGACCCUGCUGUGCUCAGACACAUGUGUCAGUGCUGCGUCUACUCUCCCGACCGCCCGCUUUCCUGUCAGUGUGCCUGGACAGCAGUUUUACUACCUCCAGAGCAGCUUCCGAGUCUCAUGUCUGUCUAGGGAUCCCCACUUUUAAAAGUCUUUUACACUUGUGGUCAAUGCGAGUCACGGACAUGGCACCAUGCCAACCAUUACUACUCCAGCUCAGUGGCACAGAGGAUGUUCACAGCGUUCGGAGCCCACCGUGUACCACCAGGCCAUUGCCAUCCUCCCAACAGCCUCUGUAUGGCCUCCAUUGUGCCUUCCUCCCCUUGCCGAAUUCCUAGCUCUAAAAGCAGUCCUGUGUUUGCAGAUGGGGACUUUUAAAAGGUGACCAAGUUAAAAUGGUAUGACUGGUGUCCUCAAGAAAAGAGGGAAUUUGGAUGUCGAUGCACAGAGGGACAAUCCUGUUCAGGGUACAGGGAGAUGGUACCUACGAGCUGAGGAGAAAGGCCCCAGGAGAGCCUACAUCUUCACCUUCAACUUCUAGCCACAUGGAAAAAAAGGAUGCUUGUUAUUUUUAUAAAACAUGUUUUAAAAUUAUUUUAUAUAUUUAUCAAAUAUAUAAUUUAUCUGAUUAUUA
rnacentral:lncRNA from 1 species